GACGAACGCUGGCGGCGUGCUUAACACAUGCAAGUCGAACGGAAAGGCCCUGCUUUUGUGGGGUGCUCGAGUGGCGAACGGGUGAGUAACACGUGAGUAACCUGCCCUUGACUUUGGGAUAACUUCAGGAAACUGGGGCUAAUACCGGAUAGGAGCUCCUGCUGCAUGGUGGGGGUUGGAAAGUUUCGGCGGUUGGGGAUGGACUCGCGGCUUAUCAGCUUGUUGGUGGGGUAGUGGCUUACCAAGGCUUUGACGGGUAGCCGGCCUGAGAGGGUGACCGGCCACAUUGGGACUGAGAUGCGGCCCAGACUCCUACGGGAGGCAGCAGUGGGGAGUAUUGCACAGUGGGCGGAAGCCUGAUGCAGCAACGCCGCGUGCGGGAUGACGGCCUGCGGGUUGUAAACCGCUUUCGCCUGUGACGAAGCGUGAGUGACGGUAAUGGGUAAAGAAGCACCGGCUAACUACGUG
rnacentral:rRNA from 1 species